GCCUAAGCCUUCACUCCGCGAACCGGGUCCUCUCCCCACAGCAACACGGCUUCUCUUCCUCAGCUCAGCGACAGGGGCUUCCCCUCAGCCGCCGCCGCCGCCGCCGCCGCCGCCGGCCGAGCUCCGCCGCGCCUGCGGCCCGCGGCCGCUAUGCAGUUUAUGUUGCUUUUUAGUCGUCAGGGAAAGCUUCGACUGCAGAAAUGGUACGUCCCAUUAUCAGACAAAGAGAAGAAAAAGAUCACAAGAGAACUUGUUCAAACCGUUUUAGCACGGAAACCUAAAAUGUGCAGCUUUCUUGAGUGGCGAGAUCUGAAGAUUGUUUACAAAAGAUAUGCCAGUCUGUAUUUUUGCUGUGCUAUUGAGGAUCAGGACAAUGAACUAAUUACCCUGGAAAUAAUUCAUCGUUAUGUGGAAUUACUUGACAAGUAUUUUGGCAGUGUGUGUGAACUUGAUAUCAUCUUUAAUUUUGAGAAGGCUUAUUUUAUUUUGGAUGAGUUUCUUUUGGGAGGAGAAGUUCAGGAAACAUCCAAGAAAAAUGUCCUUAAAGCAAUUGAGCAGGCUGAUCUACUACAGGAGAGCCAGAAUGAAGAAUGGGGAGGUUUGUCUGAGGAUAUCUUAUGAUAAAGAGCAGUCUAAGGCUUUAGUCACUUUGACCCCCACCUUAUUUAUUGGAAGCUGAAACCCCACGUAGCGUUCUUGAAGAAAUUGGACUGACAUAACUCUCCUCCCCUGUUGAUGACUUCUUGUGGCAUUUCACACACUGUAGAUGGUUACUGCCUUCAUGUCCAUGUUAGCUAAUGGUGUAAGAUGAUGUCUUGUCAGUAUUACUGUUCUGCUAAGCUGUUUCAUUCAGGCCUACACAAUCUUUUUUAAAAGGGAACUUUGGUUAAUCAAGUGAUAACAAGGGACUUAAAUAUGAAUAGAACGAAUGCAGGAAAAGAAAGGUACUUUUUCUGGCUAUUUUAAAGUUUAUAGGUCUGUUUAUCUUGGAUAGAUUAUCAUUACCUUGAUUAUGUGUAUCUAUGAAUAUGACACAAUCAGGCAAUAUAGAUUUAUUAAUUACUGUCUUGGCAAAAACGUUAAAUUAUGUGAAAUCUGGUUUUGUGAAACCAAAGACUAGUGCAUUUUAAUAUAUAUGCGAAUAAAGGGAAUUGACAUGUCACAUAUCAAAUGAAUAAAAAUUUCACUCUAUGUUGAAAGUUUAGAAAAAAACCCAAAUGUAUACCAAAGACCCUUAUUAGAAACUAAACACCUUAAAACAAAGGGAAUACACAAAAGACUAAUGGAAUGAUGCUGUUUUACACUAAAAAUGAUUUCUUAGGCCUUCCAGACCUGAGACGAGGAACCGAGAUCAGCUGUUUCAUAACAGUAAGCAUGUUAUUUUUAAGGCCAAGGAACGUUUGACUCCUGAGAUAAAUUUCUUGUUGUCAUAAUCAUUUAGUCACUUAGUUGUAUUGUUCUUGAUGCCCCCCAAAUAAAAUGGAAAUGUUGACUUACCAGGGAUUCUUAAUAACAGUAUGUUAUGGAAAAUGUUUUACUCCCUUCACAAAGUAUUGCAUAAGUCACUGUUUAAAGCACGAAUAUUCCUUCCAGGGUGCUUGUUACAGCCAAAUUUAUUUUACUCCCCUAUUGCUUCCCUCCACUUAGAAGUGCAGCAAACUUUAGGGCAGCUUCCUUCCCUUCUAUGGCACUGCCUAGUUAUUGGAAGUCAUAAAUAUAAAAACAUACCACCUCUCAUAUGAAAGUGUGAGUUGAAUGAGGUAAAAUGGCACUCGUGGGCUCUAUAUUUUUAAAGGAUGUACAGUUGUUUCAAUGUCACUUUUAUACAUACUUCUAUGUAUGUAAACAUGUCUUCACAGUUUACAUUUUCAUAUGUAUCUGCUGGGCUGGAUUAAGCUUUGUUGUGAUUGUGACCAAUAUUCAGGCCACGUGAGCACGUCUUAUCACAUCGCCAAUUAGUUGUAAUAAAUGUUCAAUGUACACCACUGUCGUCUGUUUUUAUCUGUCUCUUUCCAAAAGUUUGUCAAAUUAUGAAGAGCUGCUGAAGGAAGAAUUUAAAGAAAAACUUUUUUGAGUAAAAUGUUGAAAAUUCACCCGCAUUUGAAUGUGGUGGUGGUUAAAAGCACACACACGAUAAAUGGCGGAAGAUUUAAGGAGUCUUCAUGUACUUCAAGCUCAUUAAUAACGUGGAGUCCAUGCUACUGAGAGCUUA